AACAAUAACAGAACCUAGAGGUUUUUGUUGUUCUGGAGAAGUCAAUGAAGAGAAUAAUUUAGUAAGAACAACAACGAUUUUUAAUAACAUCUAUAAUUUUUUAAACCUGGGAACCAGGAGAAAUCUAUCAAAGAAAUUAUAAGUCUCCCGAUCAAUGAGAUUUCUGUCUGGUAGAAGUUAUAUUCCCAAACUCUGUGCAUGAGUCAAACAAUAAAUGAACUGGUACUACUCAUGCCUGUAUAUUGGGACAGUGAAAUUGGUACUAGUAUGACUGAUGGAUUUGUAUGCUAAUUUUAAUGCUUUCUUACCAGUAUAAUAACCAAAGGAUAUAUUUCCAGGUCCAGUGUUCUGGUCUGAACAUGCAGAGGCCAGAGGGGAAUAUCAGGUGCCUUCCUCUAAGAGUCCUUGAGACAGAGUCUCAAAGCCUCUGCCAGGCCUGCAGUUUAUUGUUUGGGCUAGGCCGGCUGGCUAGUGAGCUUCUAGGAUCAUCCUGUACCAAAUACUGAGGUUACAACCACCCCUGGUCUGAGUACUUUGUGGGUGCCAGAGACUUAAACUGAUGUUUCAUACUUGUACCAUAUUUACUUACCUACCAUGUAAUGCCCUAAGCCCUAAAAUCAGCAGUUACUUCUCUAGCCUUAGUUAUUACAGGAAGAUGCUUGACCAUGUAUGAUAGAACUUGAAUUGAUCUAUUUAAUUUUUAUGUUACCCAGAGACCAAGAAACUCAAACUAGAUUAUACUUUCCUUAUAGAACAAGAAAUCUAUACCUAACCCCAAACAAUUCAUUAUAUAACCCAUACUGUACUGUAAUU
rnacentral:lncRNA from 1 species